rnacentral:rRNA from 1 species
AUUGAACGCUGGCGGAAUGCUUUACACAUGCAAGUCGAGCGGCAGCGCGGGGGCAACCCUGGCGGCGAGCGGCGAACGGGUAAGUAACAUAUCGGAACGUACCCUGUCGUGGGGGAUAACUAUCCGAAAGGAUAGCUAAUACCGCAUACGACCUGAGGGUGAAAGCGGGGGACCGUAAGGCCUCGCGCGAUAGGAGCGGCCGAUAUCGGAUUAGCUAGUUGGUGAGGUAAAGGCUCACCAAGGCGACGAUCCGUAGCUGGUCUGAGAGGACGGACCAGCCACACUGGAACUGAGACACGGUCCAGACUCCUACGGGAGGCAGCAGUGGGGAAUUUUGGACAAUGGGGGCAACCCUGAUCCAGCCAUUCCGCGUGAGUGAAGAAGGCCU